rnacentral:rRNA from 1 species
GUAGGUGGGCAAGCGUUGUCCGGAAUUAUUGGGCGUAAAGCGCGCGCAGGGCGGUCCUUUAAGUCUGAUGUGAAAGCCCACGGCUCAACCGUGGAGGGUCAUUGGAAACUGGGGGACUUGAGUACAGAAGAGGAAAGCGGAAUUCCAAGUGUAGCGGUGAAAUGCGUAGAGAUUUGGAGGGACACCAGUGGCGAAGGCGGCUUUCUGGUCUGUAACUGACGCUGAGGCGCGAAAGCGUGGGGAGCAAACAGGAUUAGAUACCCUGGUAGUCCACGCCGUAAACGAUGAGUGCUAAGUGUUAGGGGGUUUCCGCCCCUUAGUGCUGCAGCUAACGCAUUAAGCACUCCGCCUGGGGAGUACGGCCGCAAGGCUG